UGCUCCCAAGCGAAAGGUAUAUUUUUUCACUAAAUUCCUUUACAGUUUAUAAACUGCUUAUUUAAUUAAAAAUGCCAUUACAAUACAAUCAAGACAUAAAGCCAUAAAGUGUUUUAUCACUUUUUCAUCUUAUAUAUUAUAUAAUAUUAACAACUUAUUGAAUAUCCAAGGGUCAGUCAAAGCGAAAGCAUUGUAUUAUCAUCCUACUGAAACGACAA